rnacentral:lncRNA from 1 species
AGAGAAGAGAUGUCCUUUCCCGCCAUUCUCCGCGGCUGGUGGGCGGGGCGGCGCGCGCUGUCCGCUGGCGGCGGUGCUGGGGCGCGGUGAACGCGGCUCCACACACCAGCGUGGAUCGGGCGGGAGGAGCGUGGCUCCAGAGCCACCACAGCUGCAGCCGGAAGACUAGCCGCCUGGGUCCGCCCCGAAACCAGGAGCACACCGAUAGCUGCUGCUACCCAGGCCCUCACUCUGGUGCUUCAGGACUCUGGGUUGAAUUUGAAUAAUUGCCAGAGAAAACUAUGGUCAAGAUUUUUGGCUUGGAACCAGAACUCAAGAGUAUGUGACAAGAUUCUCAGACUCCUUUCUGAUAAAAGUGACCUGAAAGCCUUAUCUCAAAGAGUCCCUUGGAGGUGCUAUUGUGAACAUCAUGUCCUCCUUGUUCCUGACUGCUCUCAUUUGCAAACAAUCCCCCUGACUUUCCCCAAAUAA